rnacentral:rRNA from 1 species
GACGGGGGGGGCAAGUGUUCUUCGGAAUGACUGGGCGUAAAGGGCACGUAGGCGGUGAAUCGACCUUCGGAAAGGCAUAUCGGGUUGGGGUUGAAAGUGAAAGUCGCCAAAAACUGGCGGAAUGCUCUCGAAACCAAUUCACUUGGGUGAGACAGAGGAGAGUGGAAUUUCGUGUGUAGGGGUGAAAUCCGCAAAUCUACGAAGGAACGCCAAAAGCGAAGGCAGCUCUCUGGGUCCCUACCGACGCUGGGGUGCGAAAGCAUGGGGAGCGAACAGG